rnacentral:rRNA from 1 species
GUAGGUGGCAAGCGUUGUCCGGAAUUAUUGGGCGUAAAGCGCGCGCAGGCGGUUCUUUAAGUCUGAUGUGAAAGCCCACGGCUCAACCGUAGAGGGUCAUUGGAAACUGGAGAACUUGAGUACAGAAGAGGAAAGCGGAAUUCCACGUGUAGCGGUGAAAUGCGUAGAGAUGUGGAGGAACACCAGUGGCGAAGGCGGCUUUCUGGUCUGUAACUGACACUGAGGCGUGAAAGCGUGGGGAGCAAACAGGAUUAGAUACCCUGGUGGUCCACGCCGUAAACGAUGAGUGCUAAGUGUUAGGGGGUUUCCGCCCCCCUUAGUGCUGCAGCUAACGCAUUAAGCACUCCGCCUGGGAGUACGGCCGCAAGGCUG